rnacentral:lncRNA from 1 species
UCGAUAUGGUCUGUACAAAUCAGUAUUAACUAUUAAUCUAUGAAUUCAAUUGUUAUUGCAAUUAAAUAAAUGAUGUAUCUGUUAAAAUUAAUUACAGAAACAUCAAUAUCAUGAAAUCAUGAAUAGCAAUUUUACCAAAGAAAGAAAAUUAAGAAAGCAAGAUAUAAACAAUUAAACAUGCAAUGCGUAUGUGAAAUGACCUCUUAAUACGGUAUAAAGACAAAACAAGAGAUGCUUAGAGUAAAACAGAGAAAAUAAUGGAUACUGAUUACUGGGUGCUGACGAUCAACUAAAAGAUAACAGUGAUUGCUUGUUAAACAUAGGAAAUACCCAACAUACUAGACAACCUUUUGGCUUCCCCGUCCGUCCUCUGGACUCUUGUUCCUGUUGGAUAAUUUGACCAUUUCUGAGUCGGAAAUAAUAAUAAAUGACUCAAAUAGUUUUAUGAUGCUAAAACAUUGCAUUCUCAAUGAAUAAAUAUUGAAAAAGUUAGGCACUGAUCAGGUAGUUAGCACUAAAUUUCAUAUUUCCAAAGCAAUUUAAUAAUGAAAAAAAAAUAUACGGAGAGAUUCUUUCCCUUAGUUGACUGUACUGCAUGUUAGGAAAUGCCAUGUAUCUAUGGACUUGUCUCACUCAUGCAACAGUUAUCGUAAUCAAAGUUUGAAAAAAAAUCAAUUCAUAGUUCACACAAUUUCCAACCUCUUCCUGGCAUCUACUAUCUCCAAUUCUCCAUUUCCAAAUUAAAAACAUCGAAUCCAUUCUCUUUUUUCUUUAACAUGAUAUUCUCUAGUUUAUGUUAGAUGCAACCCAAGUAAUAGUAUCCAAGUAAUCUAACCAAUCAACCAUCUAUAAAAAUAAAAUAGAGUGAUCAGCCAAAAUAGCCCUUUUUUAAUGUCUUCUCCUAUAUGGCUGGCUAUAUAUCCCCUUUGUUCAUCGUUUCAUCUCCACGACAAAAAAAAAAUUACUAUCGGAAUUUGGAAAGAAGAAAAAAAAAGCAAUCCCCAUCACUUGUCAUAUCAUAAUUCUAUCGUGCAGAAUUAGAUGCCCCCAUAUUCGUUCCCUUUCUUAGCUUUUUAGUUUUUAGCUUCUGGGCUUAUAUAUAUUGUCAUUUAUUCAAUCCAUUCCAAUCAAAAAUAAUAAUUCUGGGUUCUAGUUUCUACCUUCAACCAUUCCAAUGGCCGCAGAUGCAGAGACGACCAAGCUUUUCUCUAUCACUCAGAAUCCCACUUCUAGCAUUAAGGUAAAUUUAACUGCAGUCAUACGAUAACAUAAUAGCAAACAUGUGAGUACUGAUAUACUGAUAUUGAUUGAUAUACUUACUUGUGAUUUUGUGAAUCAGAGCGGAGUAACAAAGGAGUUGAGAGAGCUCUGGUCAAUGGCAGUCCCGAUCACAACAAUGAACAUUGUGGUUUACCUCCGAUCACUGAUAUCUGUUCUCUGUCUUGGUCGUCUGGGUAGUCUUGAACUCGCAGGAGGAGCUUUAUCUAUAGGAUUCACCAACAUCACCGGUUACAGUGUUCUGUUCGGACUGGCAUCCGGUUUGGAACCGUUCUGCAGUCAAGCAUUUGGAUCGAAGAACUACGAGUUGAUUUCCUUGUCUUUCCAGCGAACCAUCCUCCUUCUACUCAUUUCGUCCAUUCCGAUUUCGUUACUCUGGAUCAACUUAAAUCCGAUACUCAUAACUCUCGGUCAGGACGAAUCCAUCACGUCAGUCGCCGCCAUCUACUGUCUCUACUGCCUACCCGACCUUCUCACUAACUCCUUCCUCCAACCCUUACGUGUCUACCUCCGUUCCCAGAAGAUAACGAAACCGAUGAUGUGGUGCUCAGCUUUGGCCGUUCUGCUCCAUUUACCUCUCAAUGUAGUUUUCGUCUUCGUCCUAGGGUUUGGCGUCCCCGGAGUCGCCAUGGCGCAAGUGAUGACCAAUCUCAACAUGUGCAUCUUCCUAGUCAUUUACUUAAAAUUCUCCGGUGCGUGCGAUCUGACCUGGAAGGGAUGGGAUCGGAACGCUACGACGGGAUUAACUCCAUUGAUGAAACUCGCCUUACCGAGUUGCUGUGGAAUUUGUCUGGAAUGGUGGUGGUACGAGAUCGUAACAAUCUUGGCCGGAUAUUUGGAAAAUCCAAAAACUUCCGUUGCCGCAACCGCCAUCCUCAUCCAAACUACCAGUCUCAUGUACACCUUCCCGAUGGGCCUCGCCGCCUGCGUCUCCACCAGAGUCAGCAGCACAUCUAUCUCUUUAUAUACUUUUCCCAAAAUUUCCCGUUAUAUAUUAAUUUGGUUUUCUAACUUUCAAGGUAGGAAACGAAGUCGGCGACGGGAAAUCAGAAAAGGCGAGAUUAGCAUCACUAGUAGCCAUAACAUGCGGAUUUGUAAUCGGAGCCAUACACGUGGUAUGGACGUCCACCGUUGGAUCUCGAUGGGCAUCUUUUUUCACCGAUGACUCCUCCGUAGUGAAUCUGGCAGCAGCAGCAAUGCCGGUGCUUGGACUAUGUGAGCUUGCGAAUUGUCCGCAGACAACCGGAUGCGGCGUUCUACGCGGCAUAGCCAGACCGGGUAUUGCGGCUAGGAUUAACCUGACGUCGUUCUACUUGAUCGGUACGCCGGUGGCUCUUAUUCUGACGUUCGGAUUAGGCAUUGGAUUCGGCGGACUUUGGUAUGGUCUACUCAUCGCGCAAGCUGCCUGUGCUGUGCUGAUUUUGAGGGUUGUGCUGGUUCGGACUGAUUGGGCCGUCGAGAUUCUCAGAGCCAAGAAGCUCACCAACCACCACGUGGUGAACGACGAUGGUGAGGGGGAGGAGUUGUUAGGUUGCGGGUUAACCGUUACUGACGUGUAAUAGUGGGUGGGACCCAUUUAUUAAUAUUAAACUAUUAAUCAUAAUGUCAAUAUUUUUAUUUUAUUUUGUCUUUUAAAAAGUAAAACAACGGAUAAUAUAAUUACAGAUAAUGUGAUAGUGGGUGAGACCGCACCUGAUCUUGUAGUCCGGCACGCUAUUUUCCAUCCGACGGUCACGUCGCCGGACAUGAGGAAUGCACUUUCAACCGUUCCCUCGACAUGAGGAACUUUUCAUGCCUUCUGAGACUGUCUUUAAAGAUGUCAUUAAAGACACCGUACCCUUCUUUAUUUUAAUCUUUAAAGAGAUCGUUAAAGACAUCACUCUCUCAUUUGAUCCGGAGUAUUAUAAAAAAAAUUAUUGUCAAAGACAUCUAUUAUAGAAGUAUAAAAGAUCAACCUUCUAAGACAGCGUAACUAAUUACUAUAUAAUUAAUAGAAAAUAUGGGAGAUCAAUCUUCUAUUAGUUAUGUAAUAUCAAUAGUAUUCAAGUACGCUGAACCUUCAAUGCGUCGCCGUGCGUCAUCAAUUCAUGAUCAGUAGUAUUUAAUUCAAUGACUAAAAUAAUGUUGAUGGUAUGUGGGCUCGCGCUAGGGUGUUUGCACACACAAUUUUCUAGUAUUGUCCUUACUAAUAAUCGAUCAUCUUCCCUGUUGCACCAAGGGCAUACACAACUCUCUAAUAUUGUCCUUACUAAUAAUCGAUCAUCUUCCCUGUUGCACCAGGGGCACACACACAACUCUCUAGUAUUGUCCUUACUAAUAAUCGAUCAUCUUCCUUGUUGCACCAGGGGAGGUAUUUAUAGGACAUUUUCCUGGGCUUUCUGGGCCCAAUAGUCAUGUUCGGCUCAUGGUCCGUCUGAACAGGCUCUGGUACCAACAAAUGUAAUGCACAACACGCUAACACAUGUAACGGAAUUUUGGUAACGAUCAAAGUUAACGAAAAUUUCGUUACAAAUACUUUUUUUUGUAGUGAAUGGACAUGAUCAACUUGACACAUAUAACAUUCGCACUGUACGACUCACCUGAAGUGCACCGUAAUUAGUAUUAGUGAAAACUAAUUUAUCGUUGACAAGACAUAGAUAGGCCUGACAAAAUUGUCGGAUGAAAAAUAGAAAGAACCUACGACAAGUAGAAUGAACUGUUUGCAAACAACAUAGGGAUUGACGUCAGAAAACGUACGGUCCGGAUUAGAACCGCACGGUCCCGCAAAAGAACUACUCUCAAUAUAAUUAGGUAAUUAACUAUGUAAAUACUGCAAUUAAGAUUAAAAGAAAAAUAAGAUAGUGUGUAAGUAUGCAAUUACCAUCGAUAACAUUACACAAACAAGUUUCUACUUCUGCACAUAUCAGUGGCAGAAAACAGAAAUAACAACCACUGAAUCUUUCGAGCACCACUAAUUACUAAACCAACAUUAUAUAUUGUUAUGAUUAAAUUUAAAUGGGUGACAUCAACCACAAAACACAAGAUAAACCUUUUUUUUAUUUUUCUCUGUUUAUUUAUGCCAUAUGGAUAGUAUUCAUUAUUCAUUUAAUGGGAGAUGAUAAGUGAUUUUAAGCAAAAGUGGAUGAAUCUUUAAAGUUUGAAAAACAAUUUGUCAUUGUGUUUACCAAAUGGCUCUCACUCAUCAAUUUGAACUCCCAUCUGGGAGCAAUUGAUUCAAUUAAAUUAUUGAGUGGGUAUAAAAUUUGGUUAUACCCAAUUACAUAAAGUUUGGAUUUAUUAUUUUUUUCUUCAUAUGAGAGCACCAUGCGUUGGACCCCAGGAUACUGAUCAGUAGCUACAAGAUUAUCUGUUGGGUGGUUUUUCUUGAAGAAAGAUGGAAAAAAUCACACUAAAAGAAAGAUAAGAGGUCAUUGACCCCACUCAAGUUUUUUUAUCACCCAAGGAAUUAGACCUCCUCUUGUAGCUAUGAUAAAUCCCUCUUGCAUCCAAUCUGUGAUGCUCCUCCUUAACUAGAAAUUCAGAAUCUCUUUAUAGCAUUUAGAGAGUGAGUGCCACUCAAUCUCUGUGUAGCAAGGUUUUGGAGGCAAUUCAACUCUAGACAACAGUAGUCGCCAGGGAUGGUAUUAUAGUCACAAGGAGGACAACAAGAGCUUCCCAUCUCAAAGAAAAGAGUAUCGCAAUUUCAGACGCAAGGCAGAUCGACCACUUAGAACAGAGAGAAUGAGCACCCCAAUCAUAGGAAAUAGUGAGCCGAUGCAUCCAUUCUAUGGCUUUAUCAAUAAGUGUCUACCCGGUCACAACCCAUGAUAUUGGAGACCUUAGAAGGUUACAAUAUUAUAUCCCACCAAUUUGUAAAGAUGGUUCCCAUCUACACACUUCUCAAACACGAUAUGAUUGACAUUUCAGGCCCUAGAGAUAAAUUGACUCUCGCUCUAAGGAUACUAGGAGACCUUCUUAGCUUAAGAUCUAUAACUUGCAUGGCCAAGAAUAAAUGAGAUUUAUCCGAUGUCAAGGUAUAGGGAUUAUACAUUCACAAUUGCUUUCAAAAAAAUUUCAGACUACUUGAUUGUAUUGUAUAAAGUAUUGUUCGAUUCACGUCAGGUUCACCACUGAUCGUAUUGUAUAAAGUAUAUACUAGACAGUCUUACAAGUAACAACUGUUUUCCCCCUUUCUACACUUCACCCCUAAGGGUAUUUAUACAGUUUCCUACUGGUUCUCGGACCUUGCGUUCCCGGACCCAGAUCCGACCCGACGGAUCCGAGAAGUUUGGGACGCAACCAUUGGGGGUAUAACCAUCCGGCUCGGUGGAUUGGCCCGGUUGACCCGCCCGGGCUAAAACCCGUCAGGCAGUCUGGGUCUUCUUCUUUUAUUUACUUUACUGGGCCUCGAACCUGGACUCUCGCAUGGGCCUGGACUGAUGGACUAGGGGUACCAUCACUACCUAAUGUGUUGUAAUAGGAAGUGGGAGAUGAUGUGUGACCCCAGUUAUUAUAAACAAGGAAAAUCUUGAUACUAUUCAUAAUGAGGCUUGUGAUUGGGCUCCACAAUGGGUAUACGUGCAUGGCAUGACCUUAGGUGUGUAUGUCAAACAUGCAGUCAAUUCAUUAAUUAGUGUAUUGACUAUGCCACUACAUGCUAAAUUCAUUGACACCUCUGCCUAUCUGAGUUGCCUAAGGGGCCUGCAUUCAGGCGGAUGAAAGAUUUAACUACCCCCCCGUACGUACUACAAUACAUCUCAGAAUCCGGCAAUGGCAGUUACAAAUUAAGGCUCUCUCCGCCUCUCUUACUCUUUCAGACCGCCUCAUUGUAGGAGGUGCAAUAGGUUCGGCCACUGGACAGCUAAAUGCACCCUCAACCUGCCCACUGUGUUGAACUCCCUGAAGAAAACAAAUCGAUGAUCAACCGAGAGGCACUAGAGAACAAAGUAGAGCAGUCACCAUUGGCUCUGGAGCAGGCAUCUCUGACCCCAAUACAGUCUGAACAUCCCACUGAAUUGGCUCUGGAACAAGCACAAAAAUUCCAAAGAAAUGCAUCAGACAAGGUGUGGUCAGGAAAUUGAGUCCAUCAGCCCCUUAUUUUUUAAUUACUCCUAUACUAGAAAAAAAAUUUACAACUCUCUGAACACCUCAACCAGACCCUCUGAAAAAUAUCAAACUCCCCCAUCCCAACCCUCACACAUCCUUAUAUUAGAAUUGGAGAUGUAAUAGAGUCAUGCCAAAAACUGACACAUCAGUCUCUUCCAUGAGGUCUGCAUUUGAAUGCUAUUGAUUGCCUCACAUGGCACAUUUGGUCGGAAAAAAACAGGAGGCUUCAACUCUCAGACCCCCAGAAGUCAUUCCAGCAGAUAUAUUAAAAGACUGCAUAAUAUCUUUUAAAACUGGUAUCUUUAAAAAAGAAUGUGGUUCGCAAUUGGAAAUGACUACUAUGAAGGUUUGGGAGACAACCCUCCUGAGGUUCAAGUCUUAGCUAGCACUUGGAAGGAUAGUUAUAUAAGAGAAGGUUGAUAUAGUGGAAAACACAAUCAACUCCAUCGUAUUUUAUUUUCCUAUUCAUUUGUAUUUCAAAUCAUUGUCUUUCAUUAUCUUUAAUGAAAAUUUUUAAUAUUUACAAAAAAAACAUAAUUGACAAGUAAAAACAAAACCAGUAGAGAAAUUUAAUAAUGUAAAGAGAAUGAAAUUUAGUAAUUUUUUACAUUACAAAACAUUGUUUGUAAUGUAAAGAAAAAAUUCACUGAAUAGCUUAAAUUUAGUAAUUAUACAGAAAACCUUGAGAUAAAUUGUUGUUAAUAGCAUUGAAAUGUUGCUUAUAAAAUAUUAGUAUGAGAAUUCAUAAUAAUAACGUAGAAAACUAAUAUCAAAUUAACUAUACAUAAAUAACAUGAUUUUAAAAAAUAAUCUAUCAUUUUUAAAAUUAAAAUAAUAAGUAUUUUACAUUUUUUAUGAAAUCUAUUUUCUGGUUAAUGCAAUCUUUCAAGACCAUGCUUCAACAUUGAACCUUCCAAUUCUCUCCUGUUGUCUAAGCCACUUUUCGGCAGUUUCCUUUGAAACGCCUCCUUCUUUAGAAAUUAUUUCGACCAGAGCACUGGUAACAUCUGCUGGCAUUUUAUUUGACGACCCAGCAAUGUAUACUGCAGCUCCAGUACUAAGUAAUUUCCAAACCCUUGCACUUUCUUCCUUCAUCUUAUGCUGCACAUAAACUUUUUUUGUUUCGUCUCUAGAGAAUGCCACAAACAAACCUCCUCCUUUACUAGAAGACAGUACUCCAGAAUCUUGUGCAUGAGUUUGCCAAAACUCCUCAUACAGAUAGUCACCAUGCUUGCUUCGACAUCCAAAGAAGAAAAUUACCGGAGCUGUUGAUUGGGAUACACUUUGCAGUGCACGUUCCUCGAUGAAUGCAUGGAAUGGAGCACAUCCAGUUCCUGGUCCAAUUAGAAUCAAAGGAACAGAUGCUUGGGGAGUGGGAAGGCAACCAUUAUGGAUCCAUGCAGGAACAUACACUUCUGCAAUUGUUCAGAUAGAUUGUUAAUUUUCAGUGGCACACUUUAAAGCUAAAAGAAAACUAUUCAAUACCUUUCUUAUUUUCCUUUGAGUUGAGAGACGCCAACCAAGAUGAGCAAAGGCCAUAUCGCUUUCUCUUGAAAGGACUUGUCCAUGAUACCACAUUCACUGUCAAGUGCACUUCUUUAGGAUGGACUAAAGGUGAGGAAGAAAUAGAAAAAGCUCUUGUUUUCAGUGGUGGGACAAGCUGGACCAACCAUUCAAAUGGCAUUUUUACUGAAGGAAAGUCCUCUAGAACCUGUAAAACACUUAUUCCAUUAUGAAAGGACAAGGCAGCAAUGGAAAGAUGUCCAUGUUUUAUCACAAAAAUAAAUUUUACCUCUAGAACACUUCUUCGCUCCUUUUGAUUAUAUUUAAAUAGAUCAUCUCUUCCUUCAGGAGAUGCAAAAUACUGCAACCUUUCUAUUUCAUGUUCAGCCGUUGCGAAAAAACUCAUAACCUGAAUUUUAAAUAUGCAUGAAAGAUAAAAUUGUGUCAUAUAAUACUUGCGUGGAAGUGAAAUAAAAAUUGUUGUAAAAUAAAUAAUAGAAUGACUUCUUCCUUGAAAGGGAUUCAUAGUGCGUUUAAAAAACGUUUUCUGGCUCCACAAUUAGAAGUAAAGAUGAUCUCUGAAUCGAACCCAUAAUAAUGUGAAUGUGAUCAAACUCUAAAGUUUACUGGAAUAAAUAAUCAACUUGCCUCAAAAAAAUAGCGUCGAGGAGAGGCAGAAGCAACAUCCAUUGUCAGUUCCACAUAGGUUUUUAAUUUGACUGGACUCUUAGAUAGUUUUGAAUCAGUUCUAGAAGAGUUUUCAGCGGUAGAUUUUGGUAUGACCUAGAAUAAAAAGUAUUAUGAAACUAAUGAUCUAAUUCAAAUAGAAAUGAAUGGCAAGUAUAGUAAAAUGUGAUUAGAAGUUUAGAAUGAAUUUCGUACUGUGAUAUAAACAUCUGGGUCUAAGUUGCAUCGGUUGAUAAAAGAAUCCACUGCAGUUGGGUCCUGACCAGGGAGAACUUCAAGAAUAUCACCUGAACAAUACUCAACAACCUGAAACAAGGAAAGAAAUUUCAAUUUUUUGAAGAAAAGGCAUCAUUAGUUAAUGCAAUAAAAAGGCAUAUCUGCAACAUACAGAUGUGAUGGAUUCAAAUUCAAAAUGCCGUACAUCCUUUUCUUGUUUUUCUUCAGUUAAGCGUUGGUUUUUUGUCUGUAAAUGAAAGUCAAUACAUUACUGCUAACAUGCAAGCAAGCACAAUAAUGCAAUCAUAACCGUAGAAAAAUGUGACAACAUAAUUAAUCUAUCAUUUGAUGACAGAUGAUUGUACUGUAGCCUGAAAAUUGAUGUCAAUAACUCAUUUAGGGUAUUAAAUAGAAAAUUUAUCGUGAUUUGGGAUAUUGAACAUGUUAUUAAAUGCAAGGUAAUACCAUUUUUAAAAGGUACUGUGGCAUUUCAGAAGUAUUGGAAAAUUGUCUAAAUGACAUGGAUCGAGAGUUCCCGAUUAUCAUCUGAGAAAAAGAAAUCUCUGAAAAAGUAAAAGAAAAUGUGUGGAUAAUAUCUUUCAAAGACAAAUUAGAUAGAAAAAAGAUGGUUGAUUUAAAGCAUAAACGAUUAUCCAAAAUAAAAAUAGUAAGUAUUACUUACCAUCAGUAGAUGAUUGAUUUUGUAUCUGAUCUGCAGAAUUAUAUAUUAUUUGAAAUUUUGGAGAAUCCAAUGUUCGCUGGGAAUCUAAAAUAUCUGAAUCAUUCGGUAACAUCGAAGGCUUUAUCUGAUGUAUUAAAUCCCAUAACGAUGACAACCAUGGAUCAAAGGUGGCUUCAUACCUAUUAAAAGCAAUCACUGGUCAAAUCAAUUUAGCACUACUACUGCAAAAGGAAGGCAACAUUGAUUCAUUGCCCAGAAAGUACAACAAAGUAAAAAUAUUUUCACAAGCCUGAAAAACAAAUUAAAAACUGGCAACUUACAAGUACACAAUAACUUUGGCACAUGCUAAAAUAAUGAUAAAUCUCACAUUUUUUAAAGCUUUUUCUGAAUAAAACAUUUUAAUAAAAAUUGAUUAUCUUUGAUUCCUCGAAUAUAUUAUGAAUAAUCUUUAGUUUACAAAUUUAUAUCAUCACAGUAGACAUGUUUUAAAAAUGGAAUAUCUUGAAGUCUUGAACAAUCAGUCACCGAUUUAAAACCUAAAUUUCUUUCUUAUAAUAGAAUUUUUACUCCACUCAUCUUUUCAAAAUUGUUAAAGUGAAUAGAAUUAGUUUCUGUAAUUAACUAAUUAGCUGUAGUUAGUUAUUAGCCCUAGUUAUUUCUAGCAUUUAUUUCUGUAAUUAACUUUGUAAUUAACGUUACCACUACCUAAGGCAGUGGUAACGUUUUCUGUUAUUCUCAGCCUAUAUAAACUAUAGGCUGGGGUUCAAUACAAGUACGAUUGGUAUUGCCAUUCUCAUUUCUGUUCACAUACUCUAAUCCAUUCAGUUUCAUCAUCACAAUAUGGUAUCAGAGCAUACCAGAAGUAAGUAUGAGACAUACCAGGGCAGCCAGUGGGAUUGUUAAAUCCCUGAAAUAUAAUCCGAAAUUCAAUCUCUCUGUGGAAGCUAGCAAGAUCCCAGUUCCAAGGUCUACAAAAUUCGCUCUUGAGGUUCCUCAAUGGAAACAAGCAAUGCAAGAAGAGUUUAAUGCGCUAAUAGAGAAUCAGACAUGGAAGCUCAUUCCUAGAUCACCCAAUGAUAACAUAAUUAAUACCAAAUGGGUGUUCAAAGUAAAAUCUAAGGAUGAUGGCACUGUCGAAAGGUUCAAGGCUAGGCUAGUGGCAAAUGGCAUGAGGCAGAUUGAGGGUUCGGAUUACACACACACUUUUAGCCCGGUUGUGAAAGCUAACUCCAUAAGGAUUGUGUUAACAUUGGCAAUCUCUAAUGGCUGGGAUUUGAAGCAAUUAGACAUUUCCAACGCAUUUUUACAUGGAAAGCUAGAUGAGAGGAUUGUGGUGUCACAACUUGCUGGUUUCAUUGAUCCAGAGCUUCCAGAUCAUGUGUGUUUGUUGCAGAAGUCACUAUAUGGUCUUAAACAAUCUCCAAGAAUGUGGUAUAGAAGACUCAGGGAUUUCUUGGUGUCCAUUCAUUUCAAGGAGUGUUCCACAGAUCCAUCCUUGUUUAUCCUUAUUCAUGGAGAGAGCAAGGCAUAUUUAUUUGUGUAUGUGGAUGAUAUUGUCAUCACUGGAUCAGAUAAGGAGACAGUGACUAAUAUCAUUAAGAAGAUGAGUGAUGAGUUCACUUUGAGGGAACUUGGAGAUCUGAAUUAUUUUCUGGGCAUUUCAGUUAAACCAGUCGAAGAAGGUCUUUUUCUCUCACAGCAACAAUAUUUGUGUAAUCUGUUGAGGAGUUGCAAGUUUGAGCAUCUAAAACCCUCAAGCACUCCUAUGGGAGACUUAAAAGAUCUUUUUAAAGAAGAUGAACCAGUAUCAAAUCACGGUGAAUACAGGAGAAUUAUUGGCACACUACAGUAUUUAACUCUGACCAGGCCAGAUAUACAAUUUGCAGUGAAUAAACUCUCUCAGUUUCUUGCAGCUCCAACUAAGACUCAUUGGGUGGCAGUCAAGAAAUUAUUAAGAUAUCUAUCUGGAACACAAGACACUGGUAUAAUAUUGAGAAAAACCACUGAUUUUUCUAUUACAGCAUACUCAGAUGCAGAUUGGGCAAGAGAUAUAAGUGAUAGAAAAAGUCAGACUGGUUUCUUGAUUUUCAUAGGUGGAACUUUAGUUGCUUGGGCAUCAACUAAGCAAACUACAGUGUCUAGAUCCACCACAGAGGCAGAAUAUAGAGCUGUAGGCACCACAGUAGAACAUGUUGAGGCCGUGAGAGCAUUACUUACAGAAUUGGGAGUGGAGGUUCCUUUGCCUAUGAAGUUGUACUGCGACAAUCUAAGUGCUACGUUCAUAGCUCAAAAUCCAGUAUGUCACACUAAAAUGAAACAUACUGCCAUCGACUUCAACUUCAUUAAAGAAAGAACAGAGAUGGGUUCAUUACAGGUGUUGCAUGUAGAGGGUGAAAGGCAGCUGGCUGAUAUCCUGACCAAGCCUCUAAGACCCACAUUUUUAAUGAAGUUGCAGCCCAAACUUGUGUUUACAAUCACAUAAGUUUGAGGGGGACUGUUAAAGUGAAUAGAAUUAGUUUAUGUAAUUAACUAAUUAGCUGUAGUUAGUUAUUAGCCCUAGUUAUUUUUAGCAUUUAUUUCUGUAAUUAACUUUGUAAUUAACGUUACCACGACCUAAGGCAGUGGUAACGUUUUCUGUUAUUCUCAGCCUAUAUAAACUAUAGGCUGGGGUUCAAUACAAGUACGAUUGGUAUUGCCAUUCUCAUUUCUGUUCACAUACUCUAAUCCAUUCAGUUUCAUCAUCACAAUAGUGCAUUCUGAGGUAUCUACAGAAUUCACUGAAUGUUGGCUUAUGUUUCACCAAGAAGGUUAUGAAGUUAGUUGGUUAUUGUGACUCUGAUCUUGGAAGGGAUUUGGACACCAGCAGGAACAUUUCUGGAUACAUUUUCUGGAGGGACAACUGUCAGUUUGAGAUCCAAGCUACAAAGUCAGGUCUUACUUUUAACCACAAAGGAUUGCUGAGAAAAUUCAGUUCUGUUUUCUGACAGUCAGAGUGCUAUUUACUUGGCAAAGAAUCCCAAGUUCCAUUCAAGGUCAAGCAUAUAAGACACAUAUAUCACUUUAUCAGGGAAUUGAUUGAGAAAUGGGAUCUUAAUUUGAGGAAGAUAGCAGGGGAUGAUAAUGAUGUUGAUAUGCUCACCAAGCAGGAGUAUUGGGAAGCUAAGGUUGUGAAUGGCCUUAGUUGGAUUCCUUGAACAUUGAUUGUUGUUGUGGUGAUAGCAGACAAUCUUCAAGUGGGAGAUUGUUGGGGUAUGUUGAGUAAUUUGGAGUAAUAGGCGUGUGAAGCAUGUUGUCUAGGCAUGUGUAAAUUGUUUUAUAAUUGUAACCCUUAUUAGGCCAAUUAUUAAGUAAUUAAUUGGGGCCAGCCCAAUUAGUAUCACACUAUAAAUACUUAUGAUUACUAUUACGUUAUACCUUUAAUUGUGAUUGAUUAAUACAAAGCCGUCACCACGGCAAGGAGAAGAGGACGUAAACCAUCUUGGGUGGAACCUCUAUAAAUCUGUGUUCUUAUUUUCUGCUUUACUUUCUAAUCAUCUAGCUAAGUAAGUUGAGUGCCACCACAUUGUGAGGUAGUGUGCGAUCUUGUGGGUAAUCAUGCUAUCUUGCCGCUAAUCCUCAUUUGCAUAGACGGUCUGUUGUGUGAGACUGGAGGUUGUUUUUGUUAGGAACAAGAGCAAUGAGAAACUAUUCCAAGCAAAUGUGAGAGAAAGAUUAAAGAGAGACGAUAUUUUUAACACGGUUCCACCCAAUCUGGUGUACACCCACAUGGUAUUCUGGUGAUGUAUUAUGAUGAACCCUAGAAAAGAAGCAACUCAUACUUAUUGGGUGAUUAUUAACCACCAAGAUAACCACCUGGUCCUUUACAAAGGAUCUUAACCAUUGAUGAUUGGUCAUGUGACUUAUGUAAUUGUCACAUGAUCUCAUUAAUGGCACUACUGUAAUUAAAUUAAUUAAAUAGUCUAAAACAGUCUACACAAUUAUAAAAUGAGUAUCCUUUAUUUCUCCAACAGUUUUGUGCAAUAGAUAUACUACCACGGUGCAACACGUAUUGUGACAGUCAGAUGAUUAGAUACAGCUAUUAGAUCGGUCAGCGACGCAACUCAUCCAAUUUUUUUUUUUAUUAGCACAUCAGACAUUUCUUAGGAUCGAUCCUUCAAUGCAACUUGAUGUGAAGGUGAUUCAAUCUAAUACCACUUGAUGUAAAAAACAAUGUUAGAGGAUUGCCUUCUGCAUAUUUGCUAAUUUCAAUAGCUCGACUAAAUGGCUUGAAAUUAUGGUAAGGUCUAAAAUCCAGUAGAGAGGGAGUAUGAACGAGAAUAGAAAAGAGAGAAAUACCUGAGGAAAUAUUGUAAAAUUGAUAAUUAUUCUCCUUUUUAUUUCAAUUAUUGUUUUCAACCCUUUUUAUUUCCUCACAUUGCUUUCUUUUUGUGCUUACUACUCUACAUUGGUUUUUCUACAUUUUUUACUGCAGAUCUGUUACAUUCCCCUGCCUCAUUAGAAUGGAUAAAUCAUGAAGUAUUAGAUACUGAAAACAGUCAAGUAAAAAGAUGGAUGUCUCUACCACAAUACCCUUCUGUUCAAAUCACAGAAUCCAACUCACUGCAUAGAACUUCAUCAUAUCCUCAUCAGCAACAACAUCAACACAGUAACCUCAACAAACCAAUAACUGUGCCAAAAUUCUUUUUUCCAUCCUUCCUCCCACCUAAUAGUGAUUUUCAUGUUCUUCCAAAUUUACCUUACAAUUCAACCCUUCCAUCAUUUUCACAUGGCGUUCAGAUGCCUUUGUCUACACUAAACUUACCAUCCUUUUCUGAUUCUCAUCUUCAUUAUGCAGCAGUUCGUCAUGGGGGAAAUAUGGGUCAGCUUACGCCAGGACAGUCAAAUCAAGGGCUGAACUUGAACCAAUCUAAUAUUUUGCCACAACAAUUCCAUCAUCCUGACAGUAAUAUGAAAUUUGAAAUGUUUUCUCAGCAGCAGCAGCAGAUUCAAAGAAACCAUUUUGCUCAACCAUCUAUUUCCAAUUUCGCACACUUGCAGUCUCAGUUGCCAUGUUCAAAUCCUUCUCCAACACAGAUGGUGGAUCACUUUGGUACAAUGGUUGGGUUGCCUCAUCAAAGGGACCAAAGGUUCGAACCUGUACAAGGGGGAAGACAAAACAUACGUUUUCAUCCUAACUUUCGUGCCAUCAACAAUAAUAUUAAUUAUGGAUGGCCACAACGUUAUAGAUCCAAAUACAUGUCCAAUGAAGAACUAGUUAAUAUUCUCAGAGUGCAGCUUGCAGCUACCCAUAGCAACGAUCCAUAUGUGGAUGAUUAUCCCCAUCAAGCUUCCUUGGCGAAGAAGUCUGAAGGAUCAAGGCUGAAACACCAUUUUUGUCCACAAUCUAUUCGUGAUUUUUCUUCUCGUCCCAUUCAUAAUCCUGAGCCACAUCCAUAUCUUAAAGUUGAUGCUCUUGGGAGACUUCCUUUUUCAUCCAUCCGCAGGCCUCGCCCCCUACUUGAUGUUGAUUCUCCCUCUGCGACCAGUGAAAAAGUUGACCCAGAACAUAAACAAAAAGCUCUUGAUCAAGAACCUAUGCUUGCUGCCAGAAUCACAAUUGAAGAUGGCCUUUGCCUUCUUCUUGAUAUAGAUGACAUUGACCGACUUCUUAAAUUCAGACAGCCACAAGAUGGAGGCUCUCAAUUAAUGACACAGAGAGAUGGUCUUCUCAAUGAACUUGCUGCAUCACUUCAACUAGUUGAUCCUCUUAGGACUGGAAAUACUGGUCAACCCAUUGACGACGUCAUCUUUUUGCGACUAGCAUCUUUGCCAAAGGGAUUAAAUCUCCUUUCAAGAUUCCUCCAUCUUCUUAUGCCUGGAAGCAAGCUCACUCGGGUUAUCUGCAUGGCUAUUUUUCGUCAUUUGCAAUUUAUAUUUGGUAGAUUAAAUGGAGACGCAACGACAAAACUUGCAAAUGCCAUUUCUUCUAGUGUAUCUGCAAUGGACCUCAAUGACCUUAGUACUUGUCUUUUUUCUGUUGCUUGUUCCUCGGAACAUCCACCUCUCCGUCCUAUUGGAAGUCUUGCUGGAGAUGGAGCUACAGUCAUCAUAAAAUCUGUUCUUGAUAGAUCGACAGUUCUUUUGAUGGAUCGCCAUUCUGCAAACAACUGCAUUACCUCUCAUCGGGAUCUGUGGCAGGAGUCAUUUAAUUCUUUCUUUCCCCUUCUUAUGAAGCAUUGUUUGAUUAAGUAUGAUGACAUUAUGAAACCACAUCAUAUGGAAACGAGAGAUUCUACUACUGUUGCAUCCGAAAUAGCAAAAGCUAUCAGCAGGGAGAUGCCUGUGGAUUUGUUACGAGCAUGCCUUCCACACACAGAUGAGCAGCAACGUAAGCAUAUAGUUGAUUUUGCACAGAGGUCGGUGUCAUGAUCAAUGGGAAGAAAAGUGCAAACAUUAAUUAUUUAUUGGAUGUGGGUGGGUUGGUACAAGAAAUUGUAUAGUUGUCAGGUAAAACACCAUAUCAUUUUUCUUUCAUGAACCAUGAGGAAGUUCACUUAUCGAGUGCUUAAUUUUGGGUGCUCCGUUUAGCGGUUUUAGUUGGCACUCGUCAUGAAUUAUAAGUCCAAUCAAUGUUGUCUUCUGCUUCCCUUAAUUUUCUGUAGAUUGAUGAAAUGCUUUUUAAAGUCAGUUUUCCUUGUGAAGAUUAUUCCCUCAGUAGAGGUUUGUUAUAUCCUUUGCUUGUAAUUGUUGAGUUCUGGUAGUUAGAACUUGAAAGUUAUGUGUUUUGAUUAAAAUACAUUAAUGUUGCUUUUAUCUUAAUUUUUUAAAAUAUUUUAAAUAAAAUCAAUUUUCAGGGUGGUAUUUGAUGCAGGAAAGUUAAGGAUUCCAUGUAGCACAGUUAGUCUCACUCUCACAGGGACAUCCAUCCUCUCUUUGAAUCUUUUAGGAAAUUGAGUCCAACAGAAGUUGCUUAGAAAUAUUAGAAAUAAAUAUUAUCUACUUAAUAGAUUGUUAAUAUGAAAUUAGUAUGAUAUUAAUUACAGUCAGUGAAUACAAUUAGUACUUAGAUUUAAUGGUUUUUUAAUUGUGCAUAUGUUUCAAGAAUUGAGCAUCUCAAAUCACAAUUGUUUUCUAUUUACUGUUUGUUGUUUCUUUCUUUCCCUACUAAUUGUUGACUCUUUCUCCACCACUUCCAUUCAUUUUAGCCAUGUUGGAUACACCAAACAAAUAUCAACACACUGGAUGUACGUUUUUCAUGAUAGAAAAACUGGAUCGCUUGGGAUAGAUCCAGGCUGCAGUCAGACACUCAGACCCCUGUGUUCUCAUCUGUGAUAAAUCAUCGUAUCCCUCUAUCGCUACAAAAGAUGAGCCAUGCACUUCUUAGAGUCUCAGAGUAUAAGAGAUGAAUUAAGUGUGUUAAGGAAGACUGAAUCUUAGUUGAUAAGUAAGUUUGUAAUCCAUGUAGUAAAUACAAAAACUUGUGCUAUUUACAAAUACAGAGUUGUUGGUCGGUGAUGAUCAAAAUUCCAGUUCUGUUGCACUUACUCACAGCUUGAGUAAUUGCAUACAUCUCUUUGAUGUAGAUAGAUGCUCUAGCCAUCCUACUAGUAAUUUUAGAACUAUAAUAUGCAAUGGGGUGUUUCUCUUGUAAUAACACAACACCUAUCCCUACCAAACAAGCACCAGUCUCUAUUAUAAAUUGCUUCGUAAAGUCAGGGUACAUCAGUAUUGGUGUUGUUGUCAUGGCUUUUUUGAGUGCAGAAAAACUGGAAGAAGCUGCAUCAUUCCAAACAAAUGAAUUAUUUUUUAGAAGAUCAGUCAUGGGGGCUGCUAUCUCAGCAUAUUUAUUGAUAAACCUUCUGUAGUACCCAGUUAACCCCAAAAAUCCUCUCAAUUGUUUGAUGUUCUUAGGUAAAGGCCAGUCCACCAUUGCUGAAAUUUUAGAAGGGUCUGGUUCUACUCCUGAGCCAGAGAUAAUGUGCCCUAGAAAAUUCAUAGUUGCCUUUCCGAAUGUGCAUUUAGAGAGUUUGUCCAAAAAUUUGUGAGACCUUAAAGUUUGCAGGACUUGUUCAAGGUGCCGAACAUGAUCUUGUUCAUUCUUGCUAUAGACCAAGAUGUCAUCGAAGAAAAUAAUCAUAAACCUUCUCAUUAGGUGUUGAAAAGUGUCAUUCAUAACAGAUUGGAAGGUGGAGGGUGCAUUGGUCAAGCCAAAUGGCAUGACUAAGAACUCAUAAUGCCCAUGGUGAGUUCUAAAUACAGUCUUACAAACAUCUGAUGGGUUUACUGGUAUUUGAUGGAAACCUGAACUUAAAUCCAACUUGGAAAAUACAGAAGCUCCCUUAAGUUCCCCUAAAAGUUCAUCAACCGUGGGUAUGGGAAAUUUAUCUUUCACUGUCAAGGCAUUUAGUGCCCUAUAAUCUACACAGAGUCUGAACCCUCCAUCUUUUUUCUUAACUAACAAAACAGGAGAUGAAAAAGGUGAUGUACUGGUUUGUAUAAUCCCUUGUUCUGACAUUUCUUUGAUCAAUCUUUCAAUUUCUGUUUUCUGAAAUUGGGGCUGCCUGUACGGUCUCACACUCAGGUUUAGAUUGUGAUUCCAGAUGUAUGAAGUGGUCUUGUUUUCUUUGAGGUGAUAGACCAGUGGGGGAAGCAAAAAUAUCUUCAUAAGUAUACAAAAGAUCAGUGAUAAUAGGACUUACUGAUUU